UUAGGUGCAUAGUUAUGAUUGGUUCUACAAUCUAUUUUUUAUGCUGUUAAAUUGUUUGUUGGGUUUGGGUAGAGCCAAUUUUUGAGAAAGGUCUGGACCAAUCAACCAUGGAUGAAGCUCGUAUUUUACUGGGGCGUAUUUUGGAUGCUUUUGUUGGCAAAUUUAGCACUUUCAAGCGCAUCAUUCCACAGCUGUUGGAAGAGGUAAGGAGGGAAGGGAGCAUGCUACAAUGAGGUCAAAGCUUGAACUCCCUGUGCAGGCAGUUUUGAAUCUGCAAGUUCCAGUGGAACAUUCCAAGGAAGUCAGUGAUUGUAAGAAUCUGAUCAAGACCUUAGUUAUGGAGAACUUAAGAAUCUCUGGGUUAUGUUUU